GAGACACGCUGGCGGCGUGCUUAACACAUGCAAGUCGAACGGUGACGAGGAGCUUGCUCCUCUGAUCAGUGGCGAACGGGUGAGUAACACGUGAGCAACCUGCCCCAGACUCUGGGAUAACAGUUGGAAACAGCUGCUAAUACCGGAUACGAGACGGAGAGGCAUCUCUACCGUCUGGAAAGUUUUUCGGUCUGGGAUGGACUCGCGGCCUAUCAGCUAGUUGGUGAGGUAAUGGCUCACCAAGGCGACGACGGGUAGCCGGCCUGAGAGGGCGACCGGCCACACUGGGACUGAGACACGGCCCAGACUCCUACGGGAGGCAGCAGUGGGGAAUAUUGCACAAUGGGCGAAAGCCUGAUGCAGCGACGCCGCGUGAGGGAUGACGGCCUUCGGGUUGUAAACCUCUUUCAGCAGGGAAGAAGCGAAAGUGACGGUACCUGCAGAAGAAGCACCGGCUAACUACGUG
rnacentral:rRNA from 1 species